rnacentral:rRNA from 1 species
UACAGAGGGUGCGAGCGUUGUCCGGAAUCACUGGGCGUAAAGGGCGCGUAGGCGGUCUCUUAAGCGUGUGGUGAAAGCCCGGGGCUCAACUCCGGGUCGGCCGUGCGAACUGGGGGUCUGGAGCUUGUCAGAGGCAGGCGGAAUUCCGGGUGUAGCGGUGGAAUGCGUAGAGAUCCGGAAUAACACCGGUGGCGAAGGCGGCCUGCUGGGACAGUGCUGACGCUGAGGCGCGACAGCGUGGGGAGCAAACAGG